rnacentral:rRNA from 1 species
AUUGAACGCUGGCGGCAUGCCUUACACAUGCAAGUCGAACGGUAACGCGGGGCAACCUGGCGACGAGUGGCGAACGGGUGAGUAAUGCAUCGGAACGUGCCCAGUAGCGGGGGAUAGCCCGGCGAAAGCCGGAUUAAUACCGCAUACGACAUACGGGUGAAAGGGGGGGAUCGCAAGACCUCUCGCUAUUGGAGCGGCCGAUGUCAGAUUAGGUAGUUGGCCGGGUAAAGGCCUACCAGGCCGACGAUCUGUAGCUGGGAUGAGAGGACGACCAGCCACACUGGGACUAAGACACGGCCCAGACUCCUACGGGAGGCAGCAGUGGGGAAUUUUGGACAAUGGGCGCAAGCCUGAUCCAGCCAUGCCUCGUGCGAGAAGAAGGCCUUCGGGUUGUAAACCGCUUGUGUCAGGGAAGAAAUCUUCUGGGUUAAUACCUCGGGAGGAUGACGGUACCUGAAGAAUAAGCACCGGCUAACUACGUGCCAGCAGCCGCGGUAAUAC